rnacentral:rRNA from 1 species
UACGAAGGGGGCUAGCGUUGCUCGGAAUCACUGGGCGUAAAGCGCACGUAGGCGGUCUUUUAAGUCAGGGGUGAAAUCCUGGAGCUCAACUCCAGAACUGCCUUUGAUACUGGGAGACUUGAGUCCGGGAGAGGUGAGUGGAACUGCGAGUGUAGAGGUGAAAUUCGUAGAUAUUCGCAAGAACACCAGUGGCGAAGGCGGCUCACUGGCUCGGUACUGACGCUGAGGUGCGAAAGCGUGGGGAGCAAACAGG